GGGCUUGUCAAGGUUUCGACAGGGAAUCUGAAUCUUUAGAUGCUAUUCGGAGGCGGUGCACGUUAAGCAGCAACAAAAAAUAAGCGAUAACAGAAGUUACGCAUUAGCAGCCUAGUCUGCUUCGUUUACCUCUAUUUACCUGUAGAUAGAGAGUAGGCGUCAACUAUACAGGAAACGGGAAAUGUAUGCCUCGGACAUUUUGCCGUAUAAGAGGAUAGAGAAAUAUAAGAUUUGUUUAUUGGACUUAUAUCUAUCGAAAUUUAAUCAAUAAACUAUGAUAGUAGAAGGAGAGUGGAUGAUUUUCUGGAAACGGGUUCGAUUCCCGUCAGGUCCAUAA
rnacentral:tmRNA from 1 species